rnacentral:ribozyme from 13 species
AAAAAAAAAAAAGAAAGAGCAAAACAAAAAUACAUGCUGAGAUUUUCUUUGUUUAACCUUUUAUUUCUUCUGUUUGUUUACCUACCUGGCCUAACCCUAGUACAUUGGGUCAUGAAGAGAUCCGAAGUUUAUUGAAAGAAGCGUGCAAGAACUCAAGCGAAACUGCAUU